rnacentral:rRNA from 1 species
AUACGUAGGUGACAAGCGUUAUCCGGAUUUACUGGGCGUAAAGGGCGUGUAGGCGGUCUUGCAAGUCAGAAGUGAAAUUCCUGAGCUCAACUCGGGCGCUGCUUCUGAAACUGCAGGACUUGAGUGCUGGAGGGGAUAGCGGAAUUCCUAGUGGAGCGGUAAAAUGCGCAGAUAUUAGGAAGAACACCGGUGGCGAAGGCGGCUAUCUGGACAGUAACUGACGCUGAGGCGCGAAAGCGUGGGGGGCAAACAGGAUUAGAUACCCUGGUAGUCCACGCCGUAUACGAUGAAUACUAGGUGUAGGUGGUAUCGAUUCCCUCUGUGCCGCAGUUAACACAAUAAGUAUUCCGCCUGGGGAGUACGGCCGCAAGGUUGAAACUCAAAUGAAUUGACGGGG